rnacentral:rRNA from 1 species
AUACGGAGGAUGCAAGCGUUAUCCGGAUUUAUUGGGUUUAAAGGGUGCGUAGGCGGAGGAGUAAGUCAGGGGUGAAAUGCCGCAGCUCAACUGCGGAACUGCCUUUGAUACUGCUUUUCUGGAGUCCGGAUGCCGUGGGAGGAAUGGGCAGUGUAGCGGUGAAAUGCAUAGAUAUUGCCCAGAACACCGAUUGCGAAGGCAUCUCACGAAUCCGGGACUGACGCUGAGGCACGAAAGCGUGGGGAUCAAACAGGAUUAGAUACCCUGGUAGUCCGCGCAGUAAACGAUGAUAACUAACCGUCGGCGAUAGACAGUCGGUGGCCAAGCGAAAGCGAUAAGUUAUCCACCUGGGGAGUACGUUCGCAAGAAUGAAACUCAAAGGAAUGUUCGGGG